rnacentral:rRNA from 1 species
UACGUAGGGCGCAAGCGUUGUCCGGAAUUAUUGGGCGUAAAGAGCUCGUAAGCGGUCUGUUACGUCCGCUGUGAAAACCCAGGGCUUAACCCUGGGCUUGCAGUGGAUACGGGUAGACUAGAGGCAGGUAGGGGAGAAUGGAAUUCCCGGUGUAGCGGUGAAAUGCGCAGAUAUCGGGAGGAACACCGGUGGCGAAGGCGGUUCUCUGGGCCUGACCUGACGCUGAGGAGCGAAAGCGUGGGGAGCGAACAGG